GAGUUUGAUCGUGGCUCAGAUUGAACGCUGGCGGCAUGCCUUACACAUGCAAGUCGAACGGCAGCAUGAUCUAGCUUGCUAGAUUGAUGGCGAGUGGCGAACGGGUGAGUAAUACAUCGGAACGUGCCCUGUAGUGGGGGAUAACUAGUCGAAAGAUUAGCUAAUACCGCAUACGACCUGAGGGUGAAAGUGGGGGACCGCAAGGCCUCAUGCUAUAGGAGCGGCCGAUGUCUGAUUAGCUAGUUGGUGGGGUAAAGGCCCGACCAAGGCGACGAUCAGUAGCUGGUCUGAGAGGACGAUCAGCCACACUGGGACUGAGACACGGCCCAGACUCCUACGGGAGGCAGCAGUGGGGAAUUUUGGACAAUGGGCGAAAGCCUGAUCCAGCAAUGCCGCGUGUGUGAAGAAGGCCUCGGUGU
rnacentral:rRNA from 1 species